CCAUCAUUCUGAAAAUACUGUACUUGUGUGAAAUUUUAAUGUGGGAUCUUUGUUUCACCAGGUAAUGUUGGGUUACGUGCAAGAAACCACUGCAUGGACGAUGAUAGAAGGGCUGAUUGUGCUAUUUCUUUUUUGUGUGAUGGCCUGGUGGGCACUGGAGCUGUUUUGCCACCAGAACUGGUUAACAGAGGGGCUUGUCCUCCCAGGAUCCCAAGCUGACAGAUGCUUCUACCUUGCAUUAGAGUAGUUUGGUUUUUUUAAGUCUUCCCAAGAGCACAGUGCGAAUUCUUGCACACCAGGCACGGCCAGGGAAAACUGGGAGAACUUUUUGCCUAGAUUCCUGGAAUGAAAAAUGCCUCCUUGCAGAUAAAUGUGGUACUUUGAAACCCUCAGUUUGAUUUUUUUCCCACUCAUGAGCACUGGACCCUUCCCCAGGCUGAGACACAGAGGAAACACUUCACGUGUCCUUCAGAGAAGCAUCUGGAGAGACAUCCCCCACCCCUCCCAGGUCCUGUGGGAGCUUCCCAAUGAUCAGUCACAGGUGAAGCUGUAGCUGCACUUCACAGUCCUGUGUACUAUUGACAUAAAUAUUUAUUGAUGUUCUCUGCCAAAAAAUGUUGAAUAGGAAUCUAAUUUCUAAGUGAAUGGCAACUGCCUUGCUGUGUAACUCAGCACAUUUAAGCCCUCGAGCCUCUCUUUAGAAUAUACAGAUUUAAAAGCUUGACAAGUUUUCUUUUUCAAACUGAGCAAAGGAGAGAGAGCAGCAAUGCUCAGACCAGCAGCACAGAGAGGCAAAAUACAGAUGGGCAGAGCAAAGCAGAGCCAAACUGUGCCCAAAUCCCACCCCAAGUCAGUGUGAGGUUCAGCUGAUUAUAUAAGGCAUCUGUGCUCACGCCCUAUGGCAAAGGAAAGCUGGCAUAAUUAUAGGAAUACUUGUAAUUUUCCACUUGAUGCCUACGUGAUGUAGGGAUGUACAAACAGGGAACUGUGCCCCUGCACAACAAGGGCUUUGAGUACAAUCAGGAGCUACCAGAAUAGCAUGAAACUCACUACUUGUUUUUUUGGAUUUUCUUGUGUUUCUUCCUUCAUUGUGUUCCUUUCCAUCCUCCUCCUUCAGCUUGUUCUUUGGUUUAAAGGAAAUGGCCCCUCGUGGUUGUUCUGGUACAAGAAGUGGCCUCUCUGCAGCCUCCUGCCAAGCCAGCAUCCCUCCCUCCACCUGCCAUAAAGCACUUUCUAGCAUUACAGAUGGAAGAUAAUGUUCUGCACCAGUUCUGCUGUCCACCUUCGGGGUCUAGUAGCCCAUCCUCAAGAUAACAGCGCCGCUGCUGAGUGUGCAGGCAGUGCUCCACCUGUAUAGCCCACCUCUCCUCUCCUCUGUACUGGUGUGGAUGGACUGACUGGCACUUGCAUGGAUGCCAGAGGAUUCUGUCCUGUCACUCUGGGUAAUGCAGAAGGCACGGGUUGUGCCCUCAGUGACCUCCUGUCCAUGCCUUUCUACAGCUCUUCCUCCCGUCCAGUGCUGAAAACACACUCCAGCUGUAAACAAACCCCUGAAAUGCACAGUUUAUUUUGAACUAAAAUAAACAGUUCCACAAGUC